rnacentral:lncRNA from 1 species
GCCAAGAGCGGCACCCAGUUCGGCGAGGCUGUCUGGUUCAAGGCCGGCGCCCAGAUCUUCUCUGAGGGCGGCCUGGACUACCUGGGCAACCCCUCCCUGGUGCACGCCCAGAACAUCGUCGCCACCCUGGCCGUUCAGGUGAGGGGCUAUGGCAGGCGGAUGUGUGAAAGCCGGGUAUGCGAAGAAAGCUAUAUGCGCGAUGCUGUGGGAAGGGUGCAUGAUCUUGGUUGUGCACACAGCGCUCCAGCGUUGCCAGCGGGAGCCACCCAGCCAAAAGCACCGGCGCUACACGUCCUUGUACUCCCUACUUUCACCGCACUAACCGCACCCCUCUGCUUGCCCUGCUCCAUAGGUUAUCCUGAUGGGCCUGGUGGAGGGCUACCGUGUCAACGGCGGCCCCGCCGGCGAGGGCCUGGACCCCCUGUACCCCGGCGAGUCGUUCGACCCCCUGGGCCUGGCUGACGACCCCGACACCUUCGCUGAGCUGAAGGUGAAGGAGAUCAAGAACGGCCGCCUGGCCAUGUUCUCCAUGUUCGGCUUCUUCGUCCAGGCCAUCGUGACCGGCAAGGGCCCCAUCCAGAACCUGGACGACCACCUGUCCAACCCCACCGUGAACAACGCGUUCGCCUUCGCCACCAAGUUCACCCCCUCCGCGUAAAUUCUGUUCUCAUGACUUCAAUCAGUCAGUGAGCGGCAUUUGUUGCGUCUUUUUGAAAGCGUAAGAGCGGACGAAGUGUAUGAGGAGCAAGCGAGAUCGCGUCGCGUCGUGAUGGAGUUGAUGGUGUGAUGCAGGCGGAUGGAGGCGGAGAAUGAUGUGUGCCGUGUGUCGUUUACCUAGAGAAGACAAUUUUUAAACCGCAGCGUUUGUGGUUUACGCGGUCCCGUGGUGCGCGCAAAUGCGUAUGCCCCCCGUGUAAU